AUUGAACGCUGGCGGCAGGCCUAACACAUGCAAGUCGGACGGUAGCACAGAGGAGCUUGCUCCUCGGGUGACGAGUGGCGGACGGGUGAGUAAUGUCUGGGGAUCUGCCCGAUAGAGGGGGAUAACCACUGGAAACGGUGGCUAAUACCGCAUAACGUCGCAAGACCAAAGAGGGGGACCUUCGGGCCUCUCACUAUCGGAUGAACCCAGAUGGGAUUAGCUAGUAGGCGGGGUAACGGCCCACCUAGGCGACGAUCCCUAGCUGGUCUGAGAGGAUGACCAGCCACACUGGAACUGAGACACGGUCCAGACUCCUACGGGAGGCAGCAGUGGGGAAUAUUGCACAAUGGGCGCAAGCCUGAUGCAGCCAUGCCGCGUGUAUGAAGAAGGCCUUCGGGUUGUAAAGUACUUUCAGCGGGGAGGAAGGCAGUGAGGUUCAUAACCUUACUGAUUGACGUUACCCGCAGAAGAAGCACCGGCUAACUCCGUGCCAGCAGCCGCGGUAAUACGGAGGGUGCAAGCGUUAAUCGGAAUUACUGGGCGUAAAGCGCACGCAGGCGGUCUGUUAAGUCAGAUGUGAAAUCCCCGGGCUUAACCUGGGAACUGCAUUUGAAACUGGCAGGCUUGAGUCUCGUAGAGGGGGGGUAGAAUUCCAGGUGUAGCGGUGAAUGCGUAGAGAUCUGGAGGAAUACCGGUGGCGAAGGCGGCCCCCUGGACGAGACUGACGCUCAGGUGCGAAAG
rnacentral:rRNA from 1 species